AUCGGCAACAGCGAGUAGAGCCUCAUCGCCUCCGACGUCGCCGCCUGUAGGUAGUGCAUCCGCCGCAACUUGUCGUAGUUGUAAACGUCUCUGAUCUGAUUAUUUGAUCGGCGAAUUCGUGAGCUGUCGCGAUCACUUCUCGAAGCUUCUUCUCCGAUCUGAUGAUUUAGGCCUGGAUCGUCUCGAUGCCUUUGAAAUCGAAGAUUCUCGCUGAACACAGAUUGUCGCUGGAGGUGUUGAUUUCUAGCGAUGAAAUUGGGCGUAGAUGCCUCUGACUGCACGUAACAAAAUUUCCUACUAAUUAAUUACUACACCUCAAAAUUGGAGGUAAUUGACUUUAUGGUGAUGCGGUGCAGUGGAGGUAAUUACCUCAAAAUGGAUGUAUUUGAUUUUAUGGUGAAAUUGAGCGUAGAUGCCUCUCUCUCUCUCUCUCUCUCUCUCUCU
rnacentral:lncRNA from 1 species